GUCUACGGCCAAACCACGUUGAAAGCACCAGUUCUCGUCCGAUCACUGAAGUUAACCAACGUCGGGCUCGGUUAGUACUUGGAUGGGUGACCGCCUGGGAACACCGAGUGCUGUAGGCUCCC
rnacentral:rRNA from 1 species